rnacentral:misc_RNA from 1 species
GAUGAAGAACGCAUCGAAAUGCGAUAAGUAAUGUGAAUUGCAGAAUUCAGUGAAUCAUCGAAUCUUUGAACGCACCUUGCGCCCUUUGGCCAUUCCGAAGGGCAUGCCUGUUUGAGUAUCAUGAACACCUCAACUCUUCAUGGUUUUCCAUGAUGAGCUUGGACUUUGGGGGUCUUGCUGGCCUGUGGGUCGGCUCCUCUCAAAUGAAUCAGCUUGCCGGUUUUUGGUGGGCAUCACAGGUGUGAUAACUAUCUACGCUUGUGGUUUUCCACCAGGGUAACCUUCAGCAGUGGAGGUUCACUGGAGCUUACAAAUGUCUCUCCUCUGUGAGGACAGCCCUUUGAAUGUUUGAUCUCAAAUCAGGUAGGACUACCCGCUGAACUUAAGCAUAUCAAUAAGCGGAGGA